GGUAUGCACUCUCUCACCGUCAUGUUGAGUCCCAAAUUACACCCUUUUCCCUUUAAUAAUGCUCUACUUAUAAUAACGCUAUUAUUUAUAAUGCUCUACUGAGACCAGAGCCCAUAGUGCACUAUACAGUACAUAUGGAAUAGGGAGCCAAUUGGGACGUUACCUUACUGCACUGCAGCAGGACCGCAGCACAUUAAAAUAAACCUGUUUUUCUAUGUCGGUGUUUGAUUACAGCCAAUGUAUCUCUCCCCAAUAGAAAGAGAACACAGGAAAAAGCACACUAAACCAUGUUUUGAAAACUAUGUUUUAGGUGAGAAUACAUGUGAGCCCCACAAUGCCUACCAAUGCUCAACCAAGGUUUACCAGCACCACGAUGCCUAUUCCACCAAUGCUCAACCAAGGUUUACCAGCACCACGAUGCCUAUUCCACCAAUGCUCAACCAAGGUUUACCAGCACCACAAUGCCUAUUCCACCAAUGCUCAACCAAGGUUUACCAGCACCACGAUGCCUACUCCACCCAUGCUCUACCAAGGUUUACCAGCACCACAAUGCCUACUCCACCCAUGCUCUACCAAGGUUUACCAGCACCACGAUGCCUACUCCACCCAUGCUCUACCAAGGUUUACCAGCACCACAAUGCCUACUCCACCCAUGCUCUACCAAGGUUUACCAGCACCACGAUGCCUAUUCCACCAAUGCUCUACCAAGGUUUACCAGCACCACAAUGCCUAUUCCACCAAUGCUCUACCAAGGUUUUACAGCACCAUAAUGCCUACUCCACCCAUGCUCUACCAAGGUUUACCAGCACCACAAUGCCUAUUCCACCAAUGCUCUACCAAGGUUUUACAGCACCAUAAUGCCUACUCCACCCAUGCUCUACUAAGGUUUUACAGCACCACAAUGCCUACUCCACCCAUGCUCUACCAAGGUUUUACAGCACCAUAAUGCCUACUCCACCCAUGCUCUACUAAGGUUUUACAGCACCACAAUGCCUACUCCACCCAUGCUCUACUAAGGUUUACCAGCACCACGAUGCCUACUCCACCCAUGCUCUACCAAGGUUUACCAGCACCACAAUGCCUACUCCACCCAUGCUCAACCAAGGUUUACCAGCACCACGAUGCCUAUUCCACCAAUGCUCUACCAAGGUUUACCAGCACCACAAUGCCUAUUCCACCAAUGCUCUACCAAGGUUUUACAGCACCAUAAUGCCUACUCCACCCAUGCUCUACCAAGGUUUACCAGCACCACAAUGCCUAUUCCACCAAUGCUCUACCAAGGUUUUACAGCACCAUAAUGCCUACUCCACCCAUGCUCUACUAAGGUUUUACAGCACCACAAUGCCUACUCCACCCAUGCUCUACCAAGGUUUUACAGCACCAUAAUGCCUACUCCACCCAUGCUCUACUAAGGUUUUACAGCACCACAAUGCCUACUCCACCCAUGCUCUACCAAGGUUUUACAGCACCACAAUGCCUACUCCACCCAUGCUCUACCAAGGUUUUACAGCACCAUAAUGCCUACUCCACCCAUGCUCUACUAAGGUUUUACAGCCCCACAAUGCCUACUCCACCCAUGCUCUACCAAGGUUUUACAGCACCACAAUGCCUACUCCACCCAUGCUCUACCAAGGUUUUACAGCACCACAAUGCCUACUCCACCCAUGCUCUACCAAGGUUUUACAGCACCACAAUGCCUACUCCACCCAUGCUCUACUAAGGUUUUACAGCACCAUAAGGCCUACUCCACCCAUGCU